rnacentral:tRNA from 1 species
GUGAGUGUAGCUCAAUAGGUAGAGCACCGGUUUGUGGUACCGGUGGUCGCGGGUUCGAACCCCGUCACUCACCCCA